GGCCUCGCGCUAUAAGAUGAGCCUAUGUCGGAUUAGUUUGUUGGUGGGGUAAUGGCCUACCAAGGCGACGAUCCGUAGCUGGUCUGAGAGGACGAUCAGCCACACUGGGACUGAGACACGGCCCAGACUCCUACGGGAGGCAGCAGUGGGGAAUCUUGGACAAUGGGGGAAACCCUGAUCCAGCAAUGCCGCGUGUGUGAAGAAGGCCUUCGGGUUGUAAAGCACUUUCAGUAGGGAAGAAAUUCUCAAGGGUAAUAUCCUUGAGCGUUGACGUUAACUACAGAAGAAGCACUGGCUAACUCUGUGCCAGCAGCCGCGGUAAUACAGAGAGUGCGAGCGUUAAUCGGAAUCACUGGGCGUAAAGCGCGCGUAGGUGGAUAUUUAAGUCGGAUGUGAAAACCCUGGGCUUAACCUGGGAAUUGCACCCGAUACUGGGCAUCUAGAGUAUGGUAGAGGGAAGUGGAAUUUCCGAUGUAGCGGUGAAAUGCGUAGAUAUCGGAAAGAACACCAGUGGCGAAGGCGGCUUCCUGGACUAAUACUGACACUGAGGCGCGAAAGCGUGGGGAGCAAACAGGAUUAGAGACCCUGGUAGUCCACGCCGUCAACGAUGAGAACUAACUGUUGGAGAGUUUACUUUCUAGUAGCGAAGCUAACGCGUUAAGUUCUCCGCCUGGGGAGUACGGCCGCAAGGUUAAAACUCAAAGAAAUUGACGGGGGCCCGCACAAGCGGUGGAGCAUGUGGUUUAAUUCGAUGCAACGCGAAAAACCUUACCUACCCUUGACAUCCUCGGAACUUGUCAGAAAUGACUUGGUGCCUUCGGGAACCGAGUGACAGGUGCUGCAUGGCUGUCGUCAGCUCGUGUCGUGAGAUGUUGGGUUAAGUCCCGUAACGAGCGCAACCCUCGUCCUUAGUUGCUAGCGGUUCGGCCGAGAACUCUAAGGAGACUGCCGGUGAUAAACCGGAGGAAGGUGGGGAUGAUGUCAAGUCAUCAUGGCCCUUACGGGUAGGGCUACACACGUGCUACAAUGGGCAGUACAAAGGGUUGCCAAACUGUGAGGUGGAGCUAAUCCCAGAAAACUGUUCGUAGUCCGGAUUGAAGUCUGCAACUCGACUUCAUGAAGUUGGAAUCGCUAGUAAUCGCAAAUCAGAAUGUUGCGGUGAAUACGUUCUCGGGCCUUGUACACACCGCCCGUCACACCAUGGGAGUG
rnacentral:rRNA from 1 species